rnacentral:tRNA from 1 species
GGGGCUGUAGCUCAGUGGUAGAGCACUUGUCUUUCACCCAUGAGGCCCUGUGUUUGAUCCUCAGCACCA